rnacentral:tRNA from 1 species
GGGGACUUAGCUCAGUGGUAGAGCGCUUGCCUAGCAAGUGCAAGGCCCUGAGUUCGGUCCCCA